GCGCUCGCUUCGGCAGCACAUAUACUAAAAUUGGAAUGAUACGGAGAUUAGUAUGGCCCCUGCGCAAGGAUGACACGCAAAUUCGUGAAGCGUUCUGUAUUUUU
ensembl:snRNA U6 U6 spliceosomal RNA